GGAGUGCCUGCCUCCCAUGCAUCAAGGCCUACUUCCAAUGCAGCCCUCGUGGGCCCCUCCUUUAGACAGAGGCAGUCUUCCCCCACUUAGAACAACCACAGCACUUUGAUUUUGUGCUUUGGAAUUACUCAGACUCAAACAAUCAUUAGGGAAUUCUAUAUCUUGCCUCUCCGUCUAGAUUGAGGGUACCUGUUAAUUCAACUUUUCAUUCUCCCCUCCUAGAAUACUACAGGUACAGAAAUCAUUUGCUCAAUUAAAUGGUGGCAGCCCAGUUCCCAUGAGGAAGGUCUGGGUUCACUGCUGUGACCUUGGUCUCUGUAUUGAGAUUGGGAGCUCCUGGUGGGCAGCUCCUCACCUCAGAGACCUGCUUAUGACUAAGCCCAGGAUAAGGGCUUGUUGAGUGAUACUAUGGAAUUCAAGGCCUAGUGCCUUGAACAAACUCACUAUGUGUCUUAAGGAGAGCCCCUGCUCUCUUCUGGUGGCCACCAAUCUUGAAGUCUCAUUUACCUGUGCUGGGAUUCUGUCCUGAGAGCUGAUAGUGGAAGAGACUGGCACACUCUCACAUCAGGCUGGCAGGAGGCUGGUGUUGAGGGAAUUAGCUCAGGGAGCAAAGGCAUGGGUAGGGAAAGGUGACUAGGGGUAGGAAGGAGAUGAAUGGGGAUGGGGUCCAUAGACCACACUGUCUGCCGCAGCAUCCCCAGCUGGACUUGGUGGGGCCCAGGCAGGGAAUAGCUGGCAUCCAGACGUGCUAACAAGUAUUCCUGAGCAGUCUGUGUCAAUGCAGGUGGGGGAUAAUGACACAGAGGAAGACAGAGUAGAGAGAGCUGAUGGACCCC
rnacentral:lncRNA from 1 species